UACAGAGGGUGCGAGCGUUAAUCGGAAUUACUGGGCGUAAAGCGUGCGUAGACGGUUAUCUAAGUCGGAUGUGAAAGCCCCGGGCUCAACCUGGGAAUUGCAUUCGAGACUGAAUAGCUAGGGUGCGGUAGAGGGAAGCGGAAUUUCCGGUGUAGCGGUAAAAUGCGUAGAUAUCGGAAGGAACAUCAGUGGCGAAAGCGGCUUCCUGGACCAGCACCGACGUUCAGGCACGAAAGCGUGGGGAGCAAACAGG
rnacentral:rRNA from 1 species